rnacentral:lncRNA from 1 species
UGGGCCGGGAGCAAGGGCUACACUGGGCACUCCCGCCAGCCACGGGGCCUGGGGGCUGGAAGCAGGCAUUGGGCUCUGAGGAUUAGGAAAAUUAGUUUUUGAGAAAUUGGGACUUAAGGAUGUUGAUGAGGUGAAACAUCUUUUUCCUGAUGAAGGUGGAAAAUACCAACGUUCCUCACGUUUGAAUUUCCUUUCAUCUGUUUUUAGUAUCAGACUACUGUCCCCUGUGCUCAGCCUGAUCCUGUUCCUCAUUACGCUGGAGUUGGUCAACGUUCAUGCUGUUCAUGGGAAGAAUGCGCAUGAGUAUCAGCAGUACCUAAAGUUUGUGAAGUCAAUCUUGCAGUACACUGAGAACCUGGUGGCUUACACCAGUUAUGAAAAGAACAAGUGGAAUGAAACUAUCAAUCUUACACAUACAGCUUUGUUGAAAAUUUGGACUUUUAGUGAGAAGAAACAAAUGUUAAUACAUUCAGCCAAGAAAUCCACAAGUAAAGUACUCAUGAAAACCUAUAAGUCAGGAUGUCUUUAAUUUUAACAGAUUUUAACAGCGUGCAAAUUGAAAACCCAAAGGUAAGGUGGAGUU